AACAGCUUGCUGUUUCGCUGACGAGUGGCGGACGGGUGAGUAAUGUCUGGGAAACGGCCUGAUGGAGGGGGAUAACUACUGGAAACGGUAGCUAAUACCGCAUAACGUCGCAAGACCAAAGAGGGGGACCUUCGGGCCUCUUGCCAUCAGAUGUGCCCAGAUGGGAUUAGCUAGUAGGUGGGGUAACGGCUCACCUAGGCGACGAUCCCUAGCUGGUCUGAGAGGAUGACCAGCCACACUGGAACUGAGACACGGUCCAGACUCCUACGGGAGGCAGCAGUGGGGAAUAUUGCACAAUGGGCGCAAGCCUGAUGCAGCCAUGCCGCGUGUAUGAAGAAGGCCUUCGGGUUGUAAAGUACUUUCAGCGGGGAGGAAGGGAGUAAAGUUAAUACCUUUGCUCAUUGACGUUACCCGCAGAAGAAGCACCGGCUAACUCCGUGCCAGCAGCCGCGGUAAUACGGAGGGUGCAAGCGUUAAUCGGAAUUACUGGGCGUAAAGCGCACGCAGGCGGUUUGUUAAGUCAGAUGUGAAAUCCCCGGGCUCAACCUGGGAACUGCAUCUGAUACUGGCAAGCUUGAGUCUCGUAGAGGGGGGUAGAAUUCCAGGUGUAGCGGUGAAAUGCGUAGAGAUCUGGAGGAAUACCG
rnacentral:rRNA from 1 species